rnacentral:rRNA from 1 species
CUGUAUGAAUGGCAUAACGAGGGUUUAACUGUCUCCCUCCCCCAGUCAAUGAAAUUGAUCUGCCCGUGCAGAAGCGGACAUAAACACAUAAGACGAGAAGACCCUAUGGAGCUUUAGACAAAAGAUCAAACAUGUAAAGAAACCAAACCAACCAAAAGGAACACAAAGGCCACAAAACCCAACGUAAAAUGAUCAAAAUGUCUUCGGUUGGGGCGACCAUGGGGGAAAGAAAAGCCCCCACGAGGAACUAAGGGCAAUCCAUUAAGCCAAGAGAUACACCUCUAAGCAACAGAAAAUCUGACCAAAAAUGACCCAGGACACUAAUCCUGAUCAACGAACCAAGUUACCCUAGGGAUAACAGCGCAAUCCUUUCCCAGAGUCCAUAUCGACGAAAGGGUUUACGACCUCGAUGUUGGAUCAGGACAUCCUAAUGGUGCAGCCGCUAUUAAGGGUUCGUUUGUUCAACGAUUAACAGUCCUACGUGAUCU